AGAAGAAGAAGAAGAAGAAGAAGAGAAUUGAGAAUCCUUCUUCUGGAUGUUGCGGGAACUGCCAGAUACUCAAAUGAACAAACUAAGGAGGAGGACGUUUGAACAAGUGUCCAGUUAAGAGAGUUCCAUCAAAGUCGAGUCUUUCAUCUGUCUCGGUUCUCAUUGGCUGAUGGAGAGGACAGUUGUGUCGCUAUGUCUCACAGACUAACCAAGGAUCAGCUGGAUGAACAGUUUGAGCUGUUCUUGAAAGAGUCUGUUUCAGAUGAAUCCGAGAAGCAGCUGGGUACUAACAGCAGCCAGACAUCAGCCCGGAAACCAAAAGCGUCCUGGCGGCCAGAUGAGGAACCCAGCGGGGGGGGAGCAGU